rnacentral:rRNA from 1 species
AGUAGUUUGAUCAUGGCUCGAGGACGACGCUGGCGGUGUGCUUCACACAUGCAAGUCGAACGAGGUAGCAAUACCUAGUGGCGGACGGGUGAGUAACGCGUGGGAAUCUGCCUUUAGAUGGGGGAUAACGGGUCGAAAGACUCGCUAAUACCGCAUAUGACGAAAGUUGAAAGGAGUAAUCCGUCUAAAGAUGAGCCCGCGUCCGAUUAGCUAGUUGGUAGAGUAAAAGCCUACCAAGGCGACGAUCGGUAGCUGGUCUGAGAGGAUGAUCAGCCACAAUGGGACUGAGACACGGCCCAUACUCCUACGGGAGGCAGCAGUGGGGAAUUCUACGCAAUGGGCGAAAGCCUGACGUAGCGACACCGCGUGAGCGAAGAAGCCCCUUGGGGUGUAAAGCUCUGUCAGCUGGAACGAAAAAAUGACGGUACCAGCAGAGGAAGCAUCGGCUAACUACGUG